AGUUGUUUCAGUGUGGGGUUAAGAGCUGAAGGACAGGAUGCCCCCUUCCCCAGGAGCUGCUGGGGCUUUCGCUGGGCGUGUGCCUACCCACCCACCCACUGUGAGCUGUUGACUUGGUGAUGUGCAUUCCCUGGGAGAGGCCGUCUCACUUGUUUCCUCUCUGGGAUUCCUCCUUGGAGUGCUGGAAGGUGAGAGGGAGUGAGGAGCAGGCAGGGGCUGGGGCUGAUGGACACCCAGGGAAGCCUUCCAGUAGACAAACCCGAUGCAGGAAGACCUCCUUUUAUCACGUUUGUGGCUAGGAAUUGGGUCUUUUUGGAUUUGCCUCAAGGCUUCCCUAAGAAUCCUUUUUUCUUUUUCUUUCUUUUUUUCUUUUUUUUUAAAUGGAGUUUUCGCUCUUGUUGCCCAGGCUGGAGGGCAAUGGUGCAAUCUCGGCUCACUGCAACCUCUGCCUCCUGGGUUCAAGUGGUUCUCCUGUCUCAGCCUCCCAAGUAGCUGGGACUACAAGCACGUGCCACCAUGCCUGGCUAAUUUUUGUAUUUUUAGUACAGAUGAGGUUUCACCAUGUUGGCCAGGCUGGUCUCGAACUCCUGACCUCAGGUGAUCCACCUGCCUCGGCCUCCCAAAGUGCUGGGAUUACAGGUGUGAGCCGUCGCGCCUGGCCAGAAUCUUCUUUUAUUGAGUGUGCGUCUAAAAUAGAUUUCAAGUUACGGGUGGCAGCUGGAGACCCUACUGUUAGUGAGUAAGGAAAAUAACCAUCAGCUUCUUUACUCCCCAGGUGCUGGGUGGAGGGGAACACAGGCCAGGAAAUACUAAUGAUUGUGAUAAAGAGCUCCCCAGGGGCCGGAUGUGGUGGCUCAAGCCUGUAAUCCCAGCAUUCCACGAGGCCAAGGUGGGAGGAUUGUUUGGGCCCAGGAGUUUGAGACCAGCCUGGGCAACAUGGCAAGAUCCUGUCUCUACAAAAUAUAAAAAAUUAGCCAGGCAUGAUGGUGUGCGCCUGUGGUCCCAGCUACUUGGGAGGCUGAGGUGGGAGGAUUGCUUGAAUCUGGGAGGUCGAGGCUGCAGUGAGCUGUGAUCAUGUCACCUGCACUACAGCCUGGGCAACAGGGCAAGGCCCUGUGUCCAAAAAAAAAAAAAAAAAAAAAAGCCGGGCACGGUGGCUUACGCCUGCAGUCUCAGCACCUUGGGAGGCCGAGGCAGGCAGAUCAUGAGGUUAGGAGAUCGAGACCAUCCUGGCUAACAUGGUGAAACCCCGUCUUUACUAAAAAUACAAAAAUUAGCCGGGCGUGGUGGCGGAUGCCUGCAGUCCCAGCUACUCGGGAGGCUGAGGCAGGAGAAUGGUGUGAACCCGGGAGGCGGAGCUUGCAGUGAGCAGAGAUCACACCACUGCACUUCAGCCUGGGCGACAGAGCGAUACUCUGUCUCAAAAAAAAAGUCCCCAGGACCCAAGGAAGCUGCCCAGAAGUUUUCUGAAGAGGCUCCCUGCUGCAGCUCUGAAGAGGAACAGGCUGUGCUGCUGCCCCUGCUUUCAGGAUGCUUGCAGCUUUCUCCCGCUCUCUCAGUAAGGUCUGCUGAGCACUGCACUGACGGCUCCCAGUCCCCUCUCAGUGAAGACACCAAGAAGCAGCAGCCAAGCAGCAGUCGUGGCUGCCUCCCAGUGGCCCCGGCUGUAAUCUUCUGUUCAAGGUGCCCACACCAGAUCUCAGCUGUAGAAAGCAGAGAGGCUUCAGCUGCCCUAAGAGCUGGCUCUGCGGCUGGUGACUCAGCGGGGGUGAGGGUUGAGGCGGGGGAGUGGGGGUUGGGACUUGGGGCCUGAGGACUCAUCACUGAUGACAACAAAGCCCAGGGGAUUUUGUGCAGAAGACAGGAAGCUGAGUCCCAAGAACAAGCCCAGCAGCAGAACUGCAAAAUCUAAUGAAUCCCCAGUAAUUCCAUUUAUGCCACUGAAUCCUCCCUGUGGGUUCAGAAAAACAGAUCCCUGCUUCAUGCUUCCUAAAAAUGCAGCAUGAACCAAGAUCUAAAUUCCACAACCAAGUGACCCCUCUUUCUCUUUUCUGCUGCCCACCUUCCCCGCCCCAGCCCACACCCACCCCCAAGUCCACAAGAACAUCCAGAGUGAUGUGGGUGGAGAUUUUCCUUUAUUUGAUUUUAUUUUGGAGAGGAAGGGCUAGAGCAAAAAGAUGAUGCCAACACACCGGGCACUAGAAUGACCCCUGCACAUGCAGAACACACGGACACUCAAGCUGGAUUAGUGACUGAGCAAAUGUGCCCCGUGGAGAGAAUGUCACCAGAGCUGCAAAAGCCCCCCGACCCCAGCUUUUAUUAGUUUUAAGACCCCCAACCACACCCACCCCAGGUCUCCUUGUUUUCAGUAAGCAGACCUCCUAGCAAACUGGGCUUUUACUCCUGUGGGCUCAGUGCCACAUCCCCUCAAAUAAACAUGCAUCCUCUAGAGCAAAAGGGAAAUUGACAGGAUGCUGGAACGCCGAGAGAUGGGAUGCUUUAUUUUUCAUUAUCCACCAGCUUGGGAGAAAGGCCACCUUCCAUCGCACCAGUGAGAGGCGGGAAAGAGCGAUCGGGCCCUUUCCCGUCUCUCAGGCCUUGUGCAACAUGGCCCUGGCUGCUCACUCCAGCCCUGCCUGACUUUAAACAAACCCAGUCAGUACCCUUCCACCUCUUGCCUUGGGAAGAAGACAUUUGAGAGCUCACAGAUAUAGUGCAACCGGUUAUCCAAACCAACAUGUUCUCUUGCUCAGCUUCUGUUCUAUCCAAAGGUCUCAUCCUGCUCCCCCAAGGGGAUUUCUGAUAUCUGAAAACCCCAAACCUGACUCCAGGCCUCCCCAGCAACGUGUGAGCCCCAUGGAAUGUAUUUAUUUCAUUGCAACAACCCCUCACAACCCGGCCUUCCUGCAUUUCCCGAGCGGUCUUGGGUUUUUCUCAGCAUCUCUCCCGGUGGCGUGUUGUGGUGCCCUGACUUGGAGGUGUGCAGGGUGGCAGGGGAAGUAUCAGGUGCCUUUGCUUUCUGUCCUCUCCUCGUCAGCCGUCUGAGCGUUGCUGACAGCGCGAAGCUGCCCCUGGGCUGCAGGCUUCACCGACAGGACCAAGCGUUUGCGGAACGUCUCACAGAGCACGAUGUACACAAAGGGGUUGAGGCAGCUGUUGGCAUAGCCCAAGCUGAUGGCCGCAUUGUAUAAGUAGACAAAGGUGAGGGUCGGGCGGCUGAUGGACAACUGGGUCAGCUGUAGCACAUAGUAGGGUGCCCAGCACACAAAGAAGACCAGACAGAUGGCGAUGGCUGUGCGGGUCACCCUCUUUGUCCGCAGCCGGAUGCUGCGCUGGGAGGCGGGGGCCACUGAGGACGUCAUGCGCUGCAGGAUCCUCACGUAUGCGGCUGUGAUGACCACAAAAGGCAGGGCAAAGGCCAGGAAAAACUGGUACAGGGUGAACCAGUAGAGGUCAGUGUCUGGGUUGGGCAGGCGUAUGCCGCAGCCCACUGCACCUCCUGGGAAGGGGAUGAGUCUGGCAUACAGCCACACAGGGGUGAUGCUGAUGAAGGAGAGGGCCCACAGGAGGCAGAUCACCAGGGUGGCCACAGAGGGCUUCCGGAACUUCGUGGAAGAGAUGGGGUGGACAGUGGCCAGGUAGCGGUCAAUGGCCAUGGCGGUCAGGAUGUAGGUGCUGGUGAACUGACUAUUGGCAUCCAUGGCCGUGAUGAGGGUGCACAUGGUCUCCCCAAAGUGCCACACCCCAUUGCCCAUGAGCUGGUGGAUCAUGAAGGGCAUGCCCAGGAGAAAGAGGAGAUCUACUACCGAGAGGUUGAUGAUGAAGAUGUCGGGGACGUUGUUGCACCAGUGCAGCUUGGACUUCUUCACGACCGCGAAGAUGACCGUGGAGUUCCCGAUGAUGCCCAGGAGGCAGAUGGUGCCGAACACCGAAGGCAUGAUGAUGUUGAUGUAGGAGAUGCUCCCCGUGCGAGGAGGUGAUCCUGGGGACAGAAGGAGCAAGCGUUGGCUGUUUGACAUGGGCUUUGCUCUGAGAACUGACAUCCUGCUGGCAUGCUCAGCCUCCAGCGACCCACCGUUCAUCUGGAAUCCUCUCCCACCAUUCUCCCUCCCUUCACUGUUGCUAAUCUUGUCCCUUUUCCCUUCUCCAUGAGUUUCCUGGUGAAUCCUACCAGAGUGCCCUGAGCCAUCUGUCUUGGAAGGACACAACAUGCCUGCCUCCUGCAGGCACCAGAGGCAAGAACCACAGUUGUCUGCAGAGAUUACUCUGUGAGCCCCGGGCUUCACCAGGAAAACUCGUCAGCAUAGCCAGAAGGACACAAAAGCUCUACACAUCCCCAGUGAAAUGAGGAAGCCCACUUCAGCUGCUGCCGUCCCCGCUGGCAGCUCUCACCAGGGACUGUUCAGAGGCACCGGUAUUUCCCUUCCCAGUGAAUUUCUCAAAGUCUUGGUUUUCUGGGGGAUCAACUUAUGAGCAACCAAAAAAAAUACAAUGUUUACUACAAA